rnacentral:rRNA from 1 species
AGCGAACGCUGGCGGCGUACUUAACACAUGCAAGUCGAACGAGGAUCAUCCGUGUAGCAAUACAUUGGUGGUCCUAGUGGCGCACGGGUGAGUAACACGUGGGUAACCUGCCCUUGAGUUCGGGAUACCCCCUCGAAAGGGGGGCUAAUACCGGAUACGUUCCUCGGAUCGACAGGUCUGGGGAGGAAAGGUGGCGCAAGCUGCCGCUUUUGGAGGGGCUCGCGGCCUAUCAGCUAGUUGGCGGGGUAACGGCCCACCAAGGCUAUGGCGGGUAGCUGGUCUGAGAGGACGACCAGCCACACGGGGACUGAGACACGGCCCCGACUCCUACGGGAGGCAGCAGUGGGGAAUUUUCCGCAAUGGGCGAAAGCCUGACGGAGUGACGCCGCGUGUGGGACGAAGGCCUUCGGGUCGUAAACCUCUUUUAGUAGGGAAGAAGCGAAAGUGACGGUACCUGCAGAAAAAGCACCGGCUAACUACGUGCCAGCAGCCGCCGUAAAAC